rnacentral:rRNA from 1 species
AUGAUGUCAAGUCAGCAUGGCCUUUAUGUCCUGGGCUACACACACGCUACAAUGGUCAGCACAAUGGGUCGCUAAGCCGCAAGGUGGAGCCAAUCCUCAAAGUUGGCCUCAGUUCAGAUUGUAGGCUGCAACUCGCCUGCAUGAAGAUGGAGUUGCUAGUAAACGCAGGUCAGCUAUACUGCGUUGAAUACGUUCCCGGGGCUU